rnacentral:rRNA from 1 species
UACGUAGGGUGCAAGCGUUGUCCGGAAUUAUUGGGCGUAAAGAGCUCGUAGGCGGUUUGUCGCGUCGAAUGUGAAAACCCGGGGCUCAACCCCGGGCCUGCAUUCGAUACGGGCAGACUAGAGUUCGGUAGGGGAGUCUGGAAUUCCUGGUAUAGCGGUGAAAUGCGCAGAUAUCAGGAGGAACACCGGUGGCGAAGGCGGGACUCUGGGCCGAUACUGACGCUGAGGAGCGAAAGCGUGGGGAGCAAACAGG